UGGGGAAUCUUGGACAAUGGGGGCAACCCUGAUCUAGCCAUGCCGCGUGGGUGAAGAAGGCCUUAGGGUUGUAAAGCCCUUUCAGUCGUGACGAUGAUGACGGUAGCGACAGAAGAAGCCCCGGCUAACUCCGUGCCAGCAGCCGCGGUAAUACGGAGGGGGCAAGCGUUGUUCGGAUUUACUGGGCGUAAAGGGCGCGUAGGCGGACGGUCAAGUCAGAGGUGAAAGGCCCGGGCUCAACCUGGGACGUGCCUUAGAAACUGAUUGUCUUGAGUGCGGAAGGGGGUGACGGAAUUCCCAGUGUAGAGGUGAAAUUCGUAGAUAUUGGGAAGAACACCGGUGGCGAAGGCGGUCCCCUGGUCCGCAACUGACGCUGCGGCGCGAGAGCGUGGGGAGCAAACAGGAUUAGAUACCCCCGUAGUCC
rnacentral:rRNA from 1 species